rnacentral:rRNA from 1 species
GAUGAACGCUGGCGGCGUGCUUAACACAUGCAAGUCGAACGGAAAGGCCCAAGCUUGCUUGGGUGCUCGAGUGGCGAACGGGUGAGUAACACGUGGGUGAUCUGCCCUGCACUUUGGGAUAAGCCUGGGGAACUGGGUCUAAUACCGGAUAGGACCAUCGUUUAGUGUCGGUGGUGGAAAGUUUUUCGGUGUGGGAUGAGCUCGCGGCCUAUCAGCUUGUUGGUGGGGUAAUGGCCUACCAAGGCGUCGACGGGUAGCCGGCCUGAGAGGGUGUACGGCCACAUUGGGACUGAGAUACGGCCCAGACUCCUACGGGAGGCAGCAGUGGGGAAUAUUGCACAAUGGGCGCAAGCCUGAUGCAGCGACGCCGCGUGGGGGAGGACGGCCUUCGGGUUGUAAACUCCUUUCGCCAAGGACGAAGCGUUUUGUGACGGUACUUGGAGAAGAAGCACCGGCUAACUACGUG